rnacentral:lncRNA from 1 species
GCUCUGUCAAGGAGGCCCCGUCAUACCCCAGUGACCGCCUCCAGCUCUCACCCCUCUCUGUUGACCCCCUAGGAAUCCCUGAACAGCCCAGGGAGGACUUGGACGGUGGGGUGAAGGGAAGGGACAGGACCUGCAGCCUUUUCUGGCCCAGGCAAGAAGGAAACUUCCUGUCUUUCUUCUCCAUUGCAGAUUUGGGAUUAAGCCUUAUUUUGCAUUGGGUUUAAUCUCAACAGACACCGAGGGGCACCUGGAGUCCCUGCAAAACCUUGUCUGGUAUCAGCUACCUAUCAGAGGAUGCAGAGGACAAGGGCCUAGGGGAUGCCAAAUUCCAGGGUCCAGAAAGAGCUUGGGAUAAAAUGAACAUCCAAGGGGAGGGCUUUGACCUGGGCUGAGUCUGCCUGUGCCGAGUCUGCCUGUGCCAUCCAACUGGAGUCUCAAGUCCUGAGGCAGGACGUCCAGAUGCCCCAGUGCAGGGUCCUCCUGAUCAACACCUGCUCCCCUGUACUCAUUAGCAACCUCACCCACCCUACUCUCAAAGCACACUUGGCUCUCAUAUCCAGGAGCUCUGCAUCUGUAGAUUCAGCAACAGCAGAUGGAAAAUAUUCAGAAAAUAAAUUGGACA